UACGUAGGGUCCGAGCGUUGUCCGGAAUUAUUGGGCGUAAAGGGCUCGUAGGCGGUUUGUCGCGUCGGGAGUGAAAACUCAGGGCUCAACCCUGAGCGUGCUUCCGAUACGGGCAGACUAGAGGUAUGCAGGGGAGAACGGAAUUCCUGGUGUAGCGGUGGAAUGCGCAGAUAUCAGGAGGAACACCGGUGGCGAAGGCGGUUCUCUGGGCCGAUACUGACGCUGAGGAGCGAAAGCGUGGGGAGCAAACAGG
rnacentral:rRNA from 1 species